rnacentral:rRNA from 1 species
AUUGAACGCUGGCGGCAUGCCUUACACAUGCAAGUCGAACGGUAACAGGUUAAGCUGACGAGUGGCGAACGGGUGAGUAAUAUAUCGGAACGUGCCCAGUCGUGGGGGAUAACUGCUCGAAAGAGCAGCUAAUACCGCAUACGACCUGAGGGUGAAAGCAGGGGAUCGUAAGACCUCGCCCGAUGGGAGCGGCCGAUAUCAGAUUAGGUAGUUGGUGGGGUAAAGGCCCACCAAGCCAACGGUCUGUAGCUGGUCUGAGAGGACGACCAGCCACACUGGGACUGAGACACGGCCCAGACUCCUACGGGAGGCAGCAGUGGGGAAUUUUGGACAAUGGGCGCAAGCCUGAUCCAGCCAUGCCGCGUGCGGGAAGAAGGCCUUCGGGUUGUAAACCGCUUUUGUCAGGGAAGAAAAGGUUCUGGUUAAUACCUGGGACUCAUGACGGUACCUGAAGAAUAAGCACCGGCUAACUACGUGCCAGCAGCCGCAGUAACAC